UAUAGCUUAGUGGUAGAGUGCCUGCUUAGCACGCAGGAGAUCCUGGGUUUAAUCCCUAGUA
rnacentral:tRNA from 1 species